CCUACGGGAGGCAGCAGUGGGGGAUAUUGCACAAUGGGGGGAACGCUGAUGCAGCGACGCCGCGUGGGUGAAGAAGGGCCUAGGCGUGUAAAGCCCUGUCUGCCGGGAAGAAAAUGACGGUACCGGAAGAAGAAGCCCCGUCUAACUACGUGACAGCAGCCGUGGGACUACGUAGGGGGCAGGCGUUAUCCGGAUUUACUGGGCGUUAAGGGGGCGUAGACGGGGAUGCAAGUCAGGAGGGAAAGCCCGGGGGCCAACCCCGGGACGGCUGUUGAAACUGCGUGGCUGGAGUGCAGGAGGGGUAGGCGGAAUGCGUGGUGUAGCGGUGAAAUGCGUAGAUAUCAGGAGGAACACCGGUGGCGAAGGCGGCCUGCUGGACUGCAACUGACGUUGAGGCACGAAAGCGUGGGGAGCGAACAGGAUUAGAUACCCGGGUAGUC
rnacentral:rRNA from 1 species